rnacentral:lncRNA from 1 species
UUGAUUAAAAAUGAUCAUAGCAGCAACUAUACGCCAUACUCCACAUUGCUGAACACCUGUCAUACUCCACCAUAAAGAGUAUCGCCACUUAGAAUAAACCAUUCUAAGAAUUUUCACUACGGCUCAUCUCGAAAAAACACCUUGCUGAUUAUUAUGGUGCAACCUCCACUAUUGGCUCUCCUUGGAAGUCCAUCAGCUAUCGACAUAACUGUUUCAUCACACACCUUNNN